GUUUGAUUAGCUCAAUUGGUAGAGCAAUCGCUUCAUCAGUGAUGCGUGCAGGUUCAACUCCUGUAUCAAACUCCA
rnacentral:tRNA from 7 species